AUUGAACGCUGGCGGCAGGCCUAACACAUGCAAGUCGAGCGGUAGCACAGAGAGCUUGCUCUCGGGUGACGAGCGGCGGACGGGUGAGGACUGUCUGGGAAACUGCCUGAUGGAGGGGGAUAACUACUGGAAACGGUAGCUAAUACCGCAUAACGUCGCAAGACCAAAGUGGGGGACCUUCGGGCCUCAUGCCACCAGAUGUGCCCAGAUGGGAUUAGCUAGUAGGUGGGGUAACGGCUCACCUAGGCGACGAUCCCUAGCUGGUCUGAGAGGAUGACCAGCCACACUGGAACUGAGACACGGUCCAGACUCCUACGGGAGGCAGCAGUGGGGAAUAUUGCACAAUGGGCGCAAGCCUGAUGCAGCCAUGCCGCGUGUGUGAAGAAGGCCUUCGGGUUGUAAAGCACUUUCAGCGGGGAGGAAGGCGGUGAGGUUAAUAACCUCAUCGAUUGACGUUACCCGCAGAAGAAGCACCGGCUAACUCCGUGCCAGCCGCCGCGGUAA
rnacentral:rRNA from 1 species